UACGUAGGCAGCAAGCGUUGUUCGGAGUUACUGGGCGUAAAGGGUGUGUAGGCGGUUGUUUAAGUUUGGUGUGAAAUCUCCCGGCUCAACUGGGAGGGUGCGCCGAAUACUGAAUGACUAGAGUGCGGGAGAGGAAAGUGGAAUUCCUGGUGUAGCGGUGAAAUGCGUAGAUAUCAGGAGGAACACCGGUGGUGUAGACGGCUUCUGGACCGUAACUGACGCUGAGACACGAAAGCGUGGGUAGCAAACAGG
rnacentral:rRNA from 1 species